UACGAAGGGGGCUAGCGUUGCUCGGAAUCACUGGGCGUAAAGCGCACGUAGGCGGCUUCUUAAGUCAGGGGUGAAAUCCUGGAGCUCAACCCCAGAACUGCCUUUGAUACUGAGAAGCUUGAGUCCGGGAGAGGUGAGUGGAACUGCGAGUGUAGAGGUGAAAUUCGUAGAUAUUCGCAAGAACACCAGUGGCGAAGGCGGCUCACUGGCCCGGUACUGACGCUGAGGUGCGAAAGCGUGGGGAGCAAACGGG
rnacentral:rRNA from 1 species